rnacentral:rRNA from 1 species
CCUACGGGAGGCAGCAGUGGGGAAUAUUGGACAAUGGGCGAAAGCCUGAUCCAGCCAUGCCGCGUGUGUGAAGAAGGCCUUCGGGUUGUAAAGCACUUUCAGUGGGGAAGAAAGCCUUGGGGCUAAUACCCUCGAGGAAGGACAUCACCCACAGAAGAAGCACCGGCUAACUCCGUGCCAGCAGCCGCGGUAAUACGGAGGGUGCGAGCGUUAAUCGGAAUUACUGGGCGUAAAGCGCGCGUAGGCGGUCUGAUAAGCCGGUUGUGAAAGCCCCGGGCUCAACCUGGGAACGGCAUCCGGAACUGUCAGGCUAGAGUGCAGGAGAGGAAGGUAGAAUUCCCGGUGUAGCGGUGAAAUGCGUAGAGAUCGGGAGGAAUACCAGUGGCGAAGGCGGCCUUCUGGACUGACACUGACGCUGAGGUGCGAAAGCGUGGGUAGCAAACAGGAUUAGAUACCCCAGAGUC